rnacentral:rRNA from 1 species
GACGAACGCUGGCGUCGUGCUUAACACAUGCAAGUCGAACGGAAAGGCCCUGCUUUUGUGGGGUGCUCGAGUGGCGAACGGGUGAGUAACACGUGAGUAACCUGCCCUUGACUUUGGGAUAACUUCAGGAAACUGGGGCUAAUACCGGAUAGGAGCUCCUGCUGCAUGGUGGGGGUUGGAAAGUUUCGGCGGUUGGGGAUGGACUCGCGGCUUAUCAGCUUGUUGGUGGGGUAGUGGCUUACCAAGGCUUUGACGGGUAGCCGGCCUGAGAGGGUGACCGGCCACAUUGGGACUGAGAUACGGCCCAGACUCCUACGGGAGGCAGCAGUGGGGAAUGUUGCACAAUGGGCGGAAGCCUGAUGCAGCAACGCCGCGUGCGGGAUGACGGCCUUCGGGUUGUAAACCGCUUUCGCCUGUGACGAAGCGUGAGUGACGGUAAUGGGUAAAGAAGCACCGGCUAACUACGUG